ACGUGAAAUGAUGACAAUCAUCUUUUGGAACUGACCCAGAAGUGAAGAAAACACUCAUUUUCUGGUCACUU